CCUGGGCGUGUGGGUGGGGCUGUUCCAGACGCGCCGCGGCCAAUGGGGAGCCCUGGGCGACGCCCUCAGCUUCACCCAGCCAAUGGGAGAGCCCUGAGCCCCGGCAGCGGCCAAUGGCGGCGCAGCGAGCGAUGACGUCACCCCGAGCCCAGCGGAGCCCCGCCCCUUUUCCCAAAUAAAGCAUUGACCACGCCCACACCCAAA